AUUGAACGCUGGCGGCAGGCCUAACACAUGCAAGUAGAGCGGAGCGGCGGACGGGUGAGUAAGGCCUAGGAAUCUGCCCGGCAGUGGGGGAUAAAGUCCGGAAGCGGGCGCUAAUCCCGCAUCCUAUCAGAUGAGCCUAGGUCGGAUUAGCUAGUUGGUGGGGUAAAGGCCUACCAAGGCGACGAUCCGUAACUGGUCUGAGAGGAUGAUCAGCCACACUGGAACUGAGACACGGUCCAGACUCCUACGGGAGGCAGCAGUGGGGAAUAUUGCACAAUGGGCGAAAGCCUGAUCCAGCCAUGCCGCGUGUGUGAAGAAGGUCUUCGGAUUGUAAAGCACUUUUAGUUGGGAGGCGGUACCUACACAAUAAGCACCGGCUAACUUCGUGCCAGCAGCCGCGGUAAUAC
rnacentral:rRNA from 1 species